CCUACGGGAGGCAGCAGUGGGGAAUAUUGCACAAUGGGGGAAACCCUGAUGCAGCGACGCCGCGUGAGUGAAGAAGUAUUUCGGUAUGUAAAGCUCUAUCAGCAGGGAAGAAAAUAACGGUAACUGGACAAACAACCCCGGCUAACUACGUGCCAGCAGCCGCGGUAAUACGUUGGGGGCAAGCGUUAUCCGGGUUUACUGGGUGUAAAGGGAGCGUAGACGGCAGUGCAAGUCUGAAGUGAAAGCCCAGGGCUCAACCCCGGGACUGCUUUGGAAACUGUGGGGCUGGAGUGCAGGAGAGGUAAGUGGAAUUCCUAGUGUAGCGGUGAAAUGCGUAGAUAUUAGGAGGAACACCAGUGGCGAAGGCGGCUUACUGGACAGUAACUGACGUUGAGGCUCGAAAGCGUGGGGAGCAAACAGGAUUAGAUACCCUUGUAGUC
rnacentral:rRNA from 1 species